GGGGGAGUGAUUGCUUCCUGCAAGAGCGCAAAAUGUGUACAUUUCUAGACAUUUGACAGCGAGUCAGGUCCAUUCAACCGCUCCCAUCUAUCUCUUAACACCAUCCAUACUGGAUUUCUAAUUUCCAUAUAUUUUUCAACUGUGCUGUGAUGCUUCAAAAGUACUCAACCUUUCUAUUCUCAUAGUUACUAUAUAUUGUAAAAUAAAGAUAAACAUUUUUGCUAAAAUAAUUAUUAUAUUAUUGAUCGAUUGACUAUGACUUUUUUUAAAUCACC
ensembl:lncRNA